UCUCGGCCCCUCCCACCGCACGCCACAGUCCUUGGUCCACGUAUGGGAGAGCUAGGAUUGGGCCCCACCCGGUAAAAAGGGUAGCAGCAUAGCAGUAGCCCUCCGGUAACAAAAACCAACCACCCCUCCACCGGUCCACCCUCCUGUGUUGGCCUUGGCUCCUGGCUUCCUCUCCUCUCCCAUCUUCUCCUUCCUUGACCCCAGCCCUGCGGAGCCGGAACCGGAGCCAGGGCCGGGGAGCGUGCGAGUGCGAACGCAGGAGCAGCUCACGCGCGUGCGGCACACCACCUCUCGCCUCAGCGCCGCCCCACCCCCACUAUAAAUAACGGGACCAUCCUCCCCUUCCCCUGCCUCCACCUCCGCUCCAGUCCCGUGUCCUCCUCCCGCCGUCUCUCUCGUCCCGGACGCCUCCGCCGCGCCAAUGCGCCACGCCUCGCCACCGCAGGAGCUCCCCGCCGCCGGGCGCGAGAUCCAGGCGGCGCUGGCCCCCGCCAACGGCAACGCCGCGGGCGCCCGCGGGGGCGGAGGCUCCUUCACGGCGCUGCUGGGACUCCCCACUCCGCAGGCCAUGGAGCUGCUCCUCCCCCGCACGACGCCGCCCGCCCUAGCCCUAGCCCCAGCCGCAGCGCCCGCGCCCACGCCCACCUUCCCCUCCGACCCGCACCUCGUGGACCGCGCCGGGCGCUUCUCCACGUUCGCGCCCCCGUCGCCGCCCUCCCCAUCCCCAACGCAGCAGCCUCCACCGCCCCCUCCCGCCGCCGUCGCCGGCAAGCGCAAGGCCGACCCCGUCGACCGCGCCUCCAAGGGGAAGGCGGCGAAGAAGGGGAAGACGGCGGAGGAGAAGCCCGCGGCCGCCGGCGGCGAGGACGAGAAGCCGGCGUACGUGCACGUGCGGGCCAGGCGGGGCCAGGCCACGGACAGCCACAGCCUCGCCGAGCGGGCGAGACGCGAGAAGAUCAAUGCGAGGAUGGAGCUGCUCAAGGAGCUGGUCCCCGGCUGCAGUAAGGUCCGUGUGCCUGCAUUUUCUCUCCUAUGUAUGCAUUUCGCAUGCCCCACCUUCAAUUUGCAUCGCCUUUUGGAUGGAAGCCUAAACUACGCAAUAUGUGACCUAGUGUCAUGUAAAAAUUCCGGUUCUCCUACGCGUCCAACUACAUUGCUUUUCCUGCCGUCGGUGGUCUUUUUACUGCUUCUGAGAGGCCAUCUCCGAAUGGUCCUCCCUUUGCUCGGCCUCGGCGCCCUGUAACUGUGCAACGCAUUGCAGUCGAAGAUGCUUGCUAGCUAGACGCUGCCGUGGCCGUGCGGCAUACUCCAUUACUCCGCCUGCUUGCCUCGCUGGUUGCGAAAACAAACCACCGUAUAUCACGCGGGGAAGACCUUAAAUGCAGUGCGUUCCAGAACGUUGCGGUGCCUGGUUAUUCUGGCAUCGUGCGCCCGACACGUCCUUAUGGGUCGGUUUGCACGACGGGGGUGGGAUGGGAAUGGAGGGGGUAUAGUGGCCGGCUCCCUUGUGGGUGAUAGACAGGGGGGAGGCAUCGUGAUCCGGCAGGCAUACCUAACCGGGUAUUGGGCGUGAUUGUCUGGGCGGAAUGUAGCAGCCGCUUUGAAAGGUCCCGGGGCGGGUAGCUUAAUGGGGGGUGGGACUGGGACGGGCUUGGUCUACGCCAUGGCAGCUUCCAUCCUCCUAUCUUGAUGGAAUGUUGCUAUCCUCCUUUGCGCUGCGCUCGCAAUAAUGAUUUGGAUUAUGGGUCGGCAUCUUUGGGUGUUGGAUUAUGGAGGUGGUGGCAGCAUAGGCCACCAUUGGGGAGGAGUGGCCGAUUGCUGGUUUUUGCUGGUGCGUGGAGUUUAUGGGGGGAAUGGUUGGUGUGUGCCAUUGCUACUGCGAUGGUUUGACCAUUAGUUUCACUGCAAGGACAGCAACAGCAACAGCUGUUGGUAUGGACUCUGGAGUGGUGCUGUAGGUCAAUUCCAUGUGAGGUUUCGUGUUUCCUUCAACAAAGGCGCAGGGGUUGCCAUAUUCCAGCUACUGUCGUUGCUGGACCGGCUACAAAGUUGCACAGCAAUUCACUGUCACGAAGCAAUGAACAAUGUUCUGCAGUCAAGCUUGUCACUGAUUGCUAUUCACGCAUGAAUUGGUAUCAGGAACAGCGUUGGUGCUAGAUGAGAUCAUCAAUCAUGUUCAGUCUCUCCAAAGGCAAGUUGAGUACUUGUCAAUGAGGCUUGCAACUGUAAACCCGAGGGGCGAUUUUGGUGGGCUAGAUAGCUUUCUGACCACGGAGUGUGGAAGGAUAGCAAGCUUCAACUGCAAGAACGGAAUCGACUUGGAGCAGGUAACCUGGCCAGAAAUGGGUGUUCAUGGAGCAAGGCAGCUGAUGCAACUCCAACAGCAGUUCUGGCAUGGUGAUUUGGCGCAUCCACACCAAGUGGCUUCACAGUGGGAAAAGCGGGGGGAUGGCCAUCCUCCCGUCUUCAGCAACUCCAGUCCCUCUCUCUUCGGCUAUGAUCUAACAAGCUCUGGAGCCCAGCAAAACCCGGCGAGCAAGCUAAAGACCGAGCUUUGAUCGACAACGGUAAAUAGCAUGUCAGGGGAGCAAGAUGGACAUAUUUGGGGGGGGGGGGGGGGGGGGGGGUGAGGGGGACACAGAAUUUCAGCAAAUUGAUCAAGGCACAAACGAGCUGCGAAUGAAUGAUGGCUGUGGAUGGUUGAUGGCAAGCCCAGCGAAAUCAACAUUUUCAGAGAGGGUAUGUACAUAUAGCGAUAGAGAUACUGUUGGUGUUGAGCUGAAGACGGGGAUGCAUGAUGGGUGAGGAUACCGCUGUCUUUGGAGAGAUAGGCAAGCCCUGUUGCUAUCGUUGAAGAGAUGGCCAAGCGAUACCCUGGUUUCGUUACUGAUGAUGAUGAUGAUGAUGAUGAUGAUGAUGAUGAUGAUGAUGAUGAUGAUGAUGAUGAUGAUGAUGAUGAUGACGACGACAUUCUUAGUGUAUUUCUGACGACUAUAAUGGCAGUCUUAAGGUUAUAUGGGCAGCAUUUUUUACGAACGCAAAACAUAUUUCAACAAGCAUUGGAAAAUUUGGCAAUUCUCCUCCUAAACACGAAUGUAUCACAGCAUAUAAUUAUAUAUAAAAUGCAUGCUUAUAUACUCCUGCCGUUCUUA